AUGAAAACUCAGGUCGAGAUGCUGAAACCGGCGACUUUGGACGCGGCUAUGGACUUAGCAAUCUCCUUUGAGCAUGUCAAUACUGUCACCAGCACCGCGGCCACCCCGGGCCAGCCUAGCCGUCCACUCUGCCCUAUGGCCGCACCUACUCUGGCCUUACCGGACUACUCCAACCCCACGCCCGCGCUCGUCUUUAAAAGACUCAUGCCCACUGAGAUGGAUGAACGGCGCGCUAACGGUCUCUGCUUCAAUUGUGACGAGAAGUUUGCACGGGGCCAUCGCAACGACUGUUCUACAUUCAAUCCGCGGACGCCAAAGAGGAGCAGUUUGAGGAUUUCCAGGAGGCAAAAAUCUCACUCUUGGCUGUCACUGAAAUUCCCACUAGCGACACAACGCAGGUUACUCUUUGCAUUGGGGAUCGUGACUUGGUCGCCUUGCUUGAUUCAGGCAGCACUCAUAACUUCAUCCACGAAGAGCUGGACACCAUCGUCGGGCUGCCUUUCUCCUCCAAUCGUCGCUUGGGAGUCACAGUCGCUAAUGGCGAUAAGGUGA
rnacentral:rRNA from 1 species